rnacentral:rRNA from 1 species
AUUGAACGCUGGCGGCAUGCUUUACACAUGCAAGUCGAACGGUAACAGGCCUUCGGGUGCUGACGAGUGGCGAACGGGUGAGUAAUGCAUCGGAACGUGCCCAGUCGUGGGGGAUAACGUAGCGAAAGUUACGCUAAUACCGCAUAAGCCCUGAGGGGGAAAGCAGGGGAUCGCAAGACCUUGCGCGAAUGGAGCGGCCGAUGUCAGAUUAGCUAGUUGGUGGGGUAAAGGCCUACCAAGGCGACGAUCUGUAGCGGGUCUGAGAGGAUGAUCCGCCACACUGGGACUGAGACACGGCCCAGACUCCUACGGGAGGCAGCAGUGGGGAAUUUUGGACAAUGGGCGCAAGCCUGAUCCAGCCAUGCCGCGUGCGGGACGAAGGCCUCGG